rnacentral:rRNA from 1 species
GACGAACGCUGGCGGCGUGCUUAACACAUGCAAGUCGAGCGGUAAGGCCCUUUCGGGGGUACACGAGCGGCGAACGGGUGAGUAACACGUGGGUGACCUGCCCUCAGCUCUGGGAUAAGCCUGGGAAACCGGGUCUAAUACUGGACAUGACUCCAUGACGCAUGUUGUGGGGUGAAAGCCUUGUGCGGCUGAGGAUGGGCCCGCGGCCUAUCAGCUUGUUGGUGGGGUGAUGGCCUACCAAGGCGACGACGGGUAGCCGGCCUGAGAGGGCGACCGGCCACACUGGGACUGAGACACGGCCCAGACUCCUACGGGAGGCAGCAGUGGGGAAUCUUGCGCAAUGGGCGAAAGCCUGACGCAGCGACGCCGCGUGAGGGAUGACGGCCU